GUGAGAGAGUGAUGUAUGACCCCCCCCCCCCCCCCCCUCCUUUCAGGGUGGAGCCUGCUGGAGUCAGAUGGUUGACACCAGGUCUGAGGAAGUAUUCCUGUGAACUCACAGUCGACAACCACACGGUGAACAGGAACCUCAAACUGUCUCACAACAACAGGAAGGUGACAUAUGUAGGAGGAUCAGCCAUAUCCUGGUCAUCCAGAGAGGUGGGGCUGGGACUCAUCAGGAAACAACUCACCUGAGUUGUUCUCCAUCACCUC